AAAAAAAACUUAUGAAGAACUUUAUAAAAUGAUAGAAUAAAGAAGAGUCCGGCUGAGUUGCUUCUAAUAGCAUCAAAAUUUUCACCGUUAGAUUUAUUUUUUCGAUAAUUUUCAUCCGUUAGAUUAUACUAUUCAACCAACUAACCGCUCAACUCUAAAGGAUCAUUAUUAUCCUAACCACACAUCCCUUCGUUCAAGGGUCAAAACUUAUUCUCAUUAGAGUUUGGCAUGGCAUCAAGCACUUGGUGCUAUCAAAUUUUUCACCUUUAAUUUUUACUUAUUUUCACCCAUUAGAUUAUAUUAUUCAAUCAAUCAUUCACUCAAUAGAAACCAUCAUUAUCUUAACUGUACAUUUUUUCAUCCAAAUACUGAAAACUUAAUAACACCAAUGAUUUGAUGCUAUUGGAAGCAUUCCAGUCUAAUUCUAUUAGUGUCCUGCUGGAGUACUUCUAACAGCACAAAAUGUUUGGUGCUAUUAAAUUUUUCAUCGUUAUUUUUAUCUUUUUAGUUAUUUUCAUCCACUAGAUCAUACUAUUGAAUCAAUCAAAAAUUUAGGGCGUGUUUGGUUCGCUUCUUUUUUAUCAUGGAAUCGGAAUGGGAAUGAGUGAAUCCGUUUGUGGGUGUUUGGUACGUGGGUGUCCCAUUCCGAUUUCGAUUCCGAAUGGAAUGGGAAUCGCUCAAUCACCCAUUUUUUCAAUCCGGUUUAGAAGGCCGGAUUAGAAGUUGAAUCCGGACGAAAUGGAUAUUUAUUCGAAUUAAAUUUAUUUUUUAAAUUUUUUUUAAUUAAAAUAUGUGUUAAAAUUUAAAAAUUAAAUAUAUAAUUUUAAAUUUUAAUUUAAACUUAAAUUAAAAUUAAAAUUUAAUUAAGUAUUUCGAAUCUAACUUAUGAAUUUGAAUUUAAAUUAAAUUUUAAUUUAUAUAAAGUUCAUUCAAAUUUUAUUUCAAACUUAAAUUAAAUUUAUGAAUUCAAAUUAAAAUUAAAAUUAUAAUUUUAAGUUUG
rnacentral:lncRNA from 1 species